GCUUACGGCCACACCUCCCUGAGCAAGGGCCCGAUCUCGUCUGAUCUCGGAAGCUAAGCAGGGUCGGGCCCGGUUAGUACUUGGAUGGGAGACCGCCUGGGAAUACAGGUGCUGUAAGCC
rnacentral:rRNA from 1 species